CUUAUUUCGGCAGAUCUUUAA
rnacentral:tRNA from 1 species